rnacentral:rRNA from 1 species
GCCAGACUCCUACGGGAGGCAGCAGUGAGGAAUAUUGGUCAAUGGGCGUAAGCCUGAACCAGCCAAGUCGCGUGAGGGAUGAAGGAUCUAUGGUUCGUAAACCUCUUUUAUAAGGGAAUAAAGUGCGGGACGCGUCCCGCUUCGCAUGUACCUUAUGAAUAAGGAUCGGCUAACUCCGUGCCAGCAGCCGCGGUAAUACGGAGGAUCCGAGCGUUAUCCGGAUUUAUUGGGUUUAAAGGGCGCGUAGGCGGCUUUUGAAGUCAGGGGUGAAAGUCUGGGGCUCAACCAUAGAAUGGCCGUUGAACCGGGGGGGCUUGAUUAUGUUGGAGGCAGGGGGA